ACUUUUUUUUUUUUUUUGCCCUUCGUUUACCUCUAGGGCUCCUGUCCUCUCACCGCUCGGCCGCCGCCGGCGACGGCGAAGACAACAUUUCCAUCGCCAUCUCGCCAUAAUAAUCCAUGGCUUUUCCUCUGGCCCGUUAGCCCUAGCCACAUUACGUUGUUUGGGGAUUGGGAAUUGGGAAUCGGGAGAGAUUCAGAGAUGGGAGAUCACCUGGGGCAUGCCAGAUCGAUGUGACGCCGCCGAGCGCCGGCGGCGAGCGGAGCGGCAGGGGGCGAGGAUUGGCGCUGCGUUCUCCCCUCCCUGAAUUCUUCCGCCCCGUUUCUGGAUUUCUCGGUCGCAAUCCAGGAUCAAUCGACGCGACCCCCGGGAGAAAGUUACUACUCGUACUCCGUCAUCUCAUCUCUCUCUCUACCUCGUCGUCUCCAUCUGCUAUUCUGCAUGCAUGAGCCAAUCGAUAUACUCCUACGCCAUGACCAUGAUCAAGCAAAGCAAUGUACACCUGCUGCUGUGAGAGUUGCAAUUCUCCACGGUGCAUCAUCGAUCAUCAAUUACUGCUGCUGCUGCUGCCAGGUAACCCAGCAGAACACUACUACUACGAGCUGGUACAAUAGCAGACUAUUAGCCAGCUAUAAACAUAUUUUAAUGAGAUAAACGAUAAGAGAGAAGAACAGCGGGCUACAGAUCUGUAGCAAGCUGCAGCAUGAACUCCAAGACAUUGUGUAUAGAUGAAUUGAAGCUAAUAGUGGGCUAUGCUAUUAAACUUGCUCUACUCCAGCAGAGUAGACUAGUGUAUGGUGUUUCUCUCUCAUCUGUGAUGGAUGGAAGCAUGCGCACACAGAAGAAGAGGAGAGAGGGGUACUCACUCCUACUGAGAAAGGGACACGUGACGAGGGGGGGAUUGUCCGGUAGCGCUUGGCGGCGAGCCCUGACUUUGAUGCGUGGGAAUAUUUGGUGGCAAAGUAGGCUGCACUUGUCUACCAAAUGUCCAUGCUCAAUUCCAAACUUGCAGCCCCUCUACUACCAAGCUCACUAUGCACACACAGCACAGCUUGCAUUGCAUAUAUAUUUUUCCAGCUGCUCCUUGCUUAAUUUUCUCUCCUCUCUCUCUCUCUCUUUUGAUCAGGCUGAGGCUCAGCAGCAGAAGCAGCAGCAGUAGUACCCCAUCAUCAUGCAUCCAUGGUGAGAGAUGGAUGGUCACUCACAUGUGAGCAGUAGUGCCGAUCUUGCCGGACUCUGCAGGGCCACCCACUGCCCAACCAUUUCUUGGCUAACUUGCUACGACUACACAUAUAUACCUAGCAAUGACAUGCAUGAAAGCCAAACACAAACUGCUCCAAUAUCUCUAUCUUCUUCUUUAGUUUCUGAAAAUGCACAUUGACAUCAUUUCCUCUUCAAUGGAGUAGAUAAACUAGAUAAGCUAUGUUUGAGGGAUAAAUUUAAGUAUGACACAUAAAUGGGGGCUAUUGCUAAUAAUAUAAUUAUACUCUUUCCAUCCAAAAUAUGAAAACAUUUCUAGGCCACUGAUUCUAAUGCACAAACAAUGUACAUUUUUAACCAAUGAGAUGCUUGGGAAAAGGAAUACUAUAAGCAAUUCAAAUAUCAAAAUUUGACUACUGAAUUGAAGUGACUAGAAGAGAAUUCUUUUUCCCUCCACCUUUGUUUUUGCUGAAGAACCUAAAAAUGUUUAUAUUUUCAAAAGAUGGAGUAUUUCAAGCUUGGUCUAUGGUGUUUUUUUAAUAUAUUCAGGGAUUGUUUCCUGUUUCUGCUGCCAUGAAAUCAUGAGGAUUCCCUGGAACAAGACAAGGGGGAAAUACAAGCAUUUGAGAUCACCAAGGCAUGGCCAAAAGGAAAGAAAUGGAUGGCAUGGCUGGCUUGCUGGAGCUCUCGUCUGUGUCGUCUGUGAUCAAUCAUGAUUCCGUAGAAACUACCAAAGCAUGCAAAAGGCCAAUUGGCAUAAAAAAAACCCCUGGUUAUUUUAAUUACCUACAGCAGCAGUUGCUCCUAUAUCUAUAUAUGCGUGUUUCUUCAUGUUUGAUAGUAUAUGAAUUAUGAGUAUAUAAUGACAGAAUCAAAUAAAACUUUUAUGUGUCA